CCUUUGUUAAUGACAAAUGCUCAACAUUGUCACUGAGUUGAAGAGUGUGAGAUGAUGUUGUUAGAAAUUGCACAAGAUGUUCUAGAAUCAAUACUGAAAUCCACCUUGUAAUAUCUGAGAUGAAGAAAUUAAUUUUCACUCACAAAUCAAGCAACUGUCCAUCUCCUACAGCUUUCAGAAUUUUUUUAUUAUUUUAAAAGGAUGUUUGUCCAGACAUAAGGAAAUAUAGACGUUCAAAUGAAAAAAGCUAGUUUUUGUUUUUUUGUGUCUUUGUUUUGAGACAGAGUCUCGCUCUUUCGCCCAGGCUGGAGUGCAGUGGCGCGAUCUCUGCUCACUGCAAGCUCCGCCUCCCGGGUUCACGCCAUUCUCCUGCCUCAGCCUCCCAAGUAGCUGGGAUUACAGGUGCCCGCCACCACGCCCGGCUAAUUUUUUGUAUUUUCAGUAGAGACGGGAUUUCACCGUGUUAGCCAGGAUGGUCUCGAUCUCCUGACCUCGUGAUCCGCCUGCCUCGGCCUCCCAAAGUGCUGGGAUUACAGGCGUGAGCCACCGCACCCGGCCGAAAAAAGCUAGUUUUAAAUGGCCAAAUCAGUCUCAAGUUUUAAUUAACCUUUUAGCAAUUAUCUUAGAAAAUCUUUAAGAUUUUAACAUUCCUUGUAAUUUGGAGUUUUUAAGAGCUCAUUUAGAGGCCCCGCUGUCUCAGGCAGCAGUGAAAUGUGUUGUUUAGCAGGUGAUUUGAAGGCUGGGUGGCCAGCAUGCACCCUGGUGUUGGUCCCAUGUCCAUGGCUUAAUAGCUGUGUCCAUCAUUUUUGUCAGGCCUGAUGAUUACUCCAUGAUCACCACAAAAUGUUAACUGGUCUCCUGUGUCUCCACACCUCUUAGGCAUUAAAAAAAGAAGGAUUGUUUAUUUUUAGAAUGAAUAAGUCUGGCUAGCCUGAUUUCUAGUUGACAGUGAUAUUGUUUUGUCACAAUGAAUACCUCAACAGGAAUUCCAAAUCCUAGAACUUGCUUUGGACUCAACACAUCUAACCACUCUUCAGCUGAUAUCCACUUGCUGACAAAUGAAUCUCUCUGGCCCCUGGACUGUGCCCUGAAACACAGCUUAAAACACCCAAGUUACAUAUGUUUCUUGUCUUAUGCAUUUGCAACAAGCCCUGGUCAACUUUGUCCUAAGGAAAAAAAAAUCAAUGUCUUAAUGACAGCACUGUUUAUUAUGGACUAAGCAUUUAUGUACAUUAUUUACUUCUAUCUUCUAAACAACCCUGCAACUCAGGUAUUGUUGUCUCAAUUUUGUUCAUAAGAAAAAUGAACGUAGUAGUAUUUACCUGCCUCUCAAGGUCAGUUGGUUUCAUUAACCACAAAACCUACUGUCCAGUUUGUAUCUUAU
rnacentral:lncRNA from 1 species